rnacentral:rRNA from 1 species
CUGAUCUCAAAUCAGGUAGGACUAC